GUUUGUGGACUUAAAUGGUCACCAGAUGGGAAAUAUCUAGCUAGUGGUGGCAAUGAUAACAUGUUGUAUAUCUGGUCAGGCAUUCCUGGUCAAGCUUCAUAUCAAACAACACCACUUUAUAGUUUAAGUGCUCAUCAAGCAGCAGUAAAGGCACUAGCUUGGUGUCCAUGGCCCCGCACAUCCUGGCCAGUGGUGGUGGCACGGCUGAUAGACACAUCCGAUUCUGGAAUUGCAAUAUAGGCUCUGUUUCAACUCCAUCGAUACCAAGUCUCAGGUAUGCUUGAACUGAAUGGGUUGUCUUUGGUUAUUAUGUAUUUCCUUUUUUAGUUUGAAUGAAGGUCUUAGAAAUUGACAAGAAGAGGUAAAGCACUAGACUGCAAAAACGCUUUUCUUGAUCAAAGUUAGGAUGUUUACAAGUCUCUAAAAGUCAGUUAUUUUUAGGAUAGCUGUAAUUAUCAGAGAGGAGAAAUUUCAGAAAUGUGUCCCAAAGGUCUGGGAGAAAUAUUUCAAAACUUUAUACAAGUGGCUCAGUUUAACGGAUUGGACUACAUUUUGCAAUAAAAAACAACAAUUCUGACCCCUAGAUAAGAACACCCAUCUGCAUAGGGAAACUAAUGGCACAUAUGUUGUUUCUUAAAAGAAGCCACAAUUGCAGUCCUAAUUGCAAAAUGUGGUCCCAUCUCUCCAAGAAGAGCAUAAAAAUAAAUAUUUGUCAGCAGGUCUCAAGAAAAUAAUCAGAAACAAAUUAAAUUCCUACAUAGUGAUCAAAUGUUAGAAACUAACAGUUCAUCUGCAUACACAUUUAUUCAUAUUUUUUUAAAAACAAAUGUCUCCAACAGUUAUAGGUCUAUUGGCUUUUCUUUACCUAUUGCAAGGGGCAAACUCGCUUUUAAAAUCGUCACCGAUUGAUCAGUACUAAUUAGGAUCUUGACUGAUGGAGCAGGUUAGGGAAAACCCGAAGAAAGUCAACCAAUAAAUGGUUUGCAAUUUCCAUUUUUCACACUUUUUUGACAUGAUAGCAAGUCUAACUGUCCAAUUUUUUCUUUUAGGUUUGCGGUAUUUUGUGGUCAUCUGCUUUCAAGGAAAUCAUAUCUGGACAUGGCUUUGCAAACAACCAGUUGAUUAUUUGGAAAUAUCCCAGUAUGGCAAAAGUGGCAGAAUUAACGGGUCACACAGCACGUGUUUUACAUCUUGCAAUGUCACCAGACAAUACAACUGUGCUCUCUGCAGGAGCCGAUGAGACUCUUCGCCUAUGGAAAUGUUUUGUCCCAGAAUCCACUAAAAAGAAAGAAGUCAAAGAUUCCGCACCCAUUCACAGCAUUUUGAAACAAAGUAUCCGUUAAUUAUAAUCAUGUUUUUCCACUUUAUUUGUUUCUUGUGAUUUGUAUAGACUGAGCUUAUCAGAGUCAGCAUCCAUUUGACACAGCUGGUAAAAUAGGGAUGAAAAUUCAUUCAUCUACCUUUUCUUGUUUUAGUAGUGAAGAUAUGCCGACCACUCAUUAUUUAUGGACAAAAUAUGGUUAUGACAGACUGCUUUGCAUUGAUUAUAUGUAAUCCCAUCUUGGCAGCUCUGUUAAAUUUUUGCUGAUUGAAGUGCUUAAUUUUUCUAUUCUCAUUCUCAUUUAUUUUUCAUCCAGCUCUUUAUGUAAAUUAUUUAUUUUUCUUCUUCUUUUUAAAGACUGUUUUUUAUAUUUGACACUGUACUCUUCAACUUUGUAAAUACUCAACAUUCUUUACGGCGAGAUCAAAAAGUCAACCCUCAGCCUAAGGGUGAUUCAAUAAAAACAUUACUUGUUGCUGGUUUUAAUGUGUUUUGUAAUUUUUUUUGAGUUCUUAAAUAAUUUUUUGAAGGUAUAUCAAUUUAAUAACUGCCAGUUAAAAUUAAAUCAAAUAAUUCAUUUUAUCAAUUUUUAUUGUUCAAACUUUACAUGCAUUUUGUAGGAAAGCUCUAAAAUUUAGCCAAAAUAUCGUGGUCCUUGAAUAAAAUUCACAAAAUAUAAUUUACAUUAUGACUUUGUUUAAUUGGAUUUCACAGGACCAUCAUAUUGAUCUGUUACUCAAUUCCUACCAGCCAAUUUGGACAAAAAUCAACGAAAAUCCGUAAAAGCAAGUUUUUUUCUGGAAAAAUUCUAAAACAUCUUCUUUUCUUUGCGAAAAUUUUUCCUCAGAAAGAAAAAUGCGUAAAUAGUGCCGGAUUAUAAUUUUAGUGCAGUGCCCAGACAACGGAAGUUCAAAUCUGCAUGGAGCAUCGAUCAGGAGUCCUAUGAGUUAAAAUAAUAUCUCACAUCACUUUUUUCUUUUUUUUUGUAUCCUAAAUUUAAGUGAAGUGAAUCAAUAAGAAACGUCCUAUCGCAUGAAUUUGAUUCAACGGCCAUUGUGUUAAUUGUUCUUAUGUAUGUCCAUAGUUUUAAGAAAUAUAUUUUUAUACUUUUGUGACAAUUAACAAAUUUUCUCUCUAUUUUUUAAUGAACCCGCCAACGUUUGUACUUUCUUCCUUCAUCUUCCAAAUAUGAAAUAAAUAAAAUAUUUUUUUCCUCUUUUAACUCUCUCCUGUUUUUUCUCUGAUUCUAUAAUGAUUUGUUAUGAGAUAUAUUAAUUUUUUAUUUAAGCUUUAACACAUUGAAAGUCUGUUUUCCCCAAAAGUAAGAGCCUUAUUCUUGUAAUCAUCACAAUUUUUUUUAAGGAAAUCAACAAUGUAAUACAUACUUUUAAUUCACAAUGGAGUAAAUUGAAGGCAAACAUAAGAUUUUGAAAGAAAUAUAAAUUGAUGGCAGGAUUUCUAGUGGUCUGGAAAGUCAGGGAAUUCAACGAUUAGCUUGUCGUCUCAACAACUUCAACUGGUGCUCUUUGAGGAAGUGCAGGCAAUUUUUGAGGGC
rnacentral:lncRNA from 1 species